UAGAGUUUGAGCCUGGCUCAGGACGAACGCUGGCGGUGUGCUUCACACAUGCAAGUCGAACGGGGUAGCAAUACCCAGUGGCGGACGGGUGAGUAACGCGUAGAAAUCUGCCUUGAGAUGGCCAAUAACAGUCCGAAAGGUAUUUCUAAAUACCGGAUAUGUAUAUAGCCGGACACGGUUGUGUAUGAAAGGAGUAAUCCGUCUUAAGAUGAGUCUGCGUCCGAUUAGCUAGUUGGUAGGGUAAAGGCCUAACCAAGUCGCCGAUCGGUAGCUUGUCUGAGAGGAUAAACAGCCACAAUGCGCCUUAGACACGGCCCAUACUCCUACCUCCGGCAGCAGUCAGGAAUUUUGUACAAUGGGCAAWACCCUGACACUCGWCACCGAGUGAMCGAWGAAGGCCUUUGGBGUGUAAAGUUCUAUCUGCUUGWACGCAAAAHVUWACGGUWCCAGCAAAUAACGGAUCGGAUAACUACGUACCAUMAGGCUADGUAAUACA
rnacentral:rRNA from 1 species